rnacentral:lncRNA from 1 species
UUCCUACAGAUUAUAAAGGAUACGUUUUCUUCAUGCUGAAUUGACCCAGUGUGUCAUUACACACCAUACCGUUCCACAAUGAUUACAACCCUAUCUUCAUGCCCUUCAUACUACAUGUUAUCCGUGUUGCUGAGAAGUCCCACCCUAGAAGUAACCCCACCCCUCAGUUCACCCCUCAGCCUCAGCCUCCUCCCAGAUAGAGGGCUUUUGUUCUGCAUCUAAUGUUUUCAUUAGGAAACUGGGCGCAACCAAGGGCGCGAGAGUGAGUGCAGGGCAAAGAGUGAGGGAGGAGAGAGAGAGAGAGAGAAGGAAGGAAGGAAAAAAUUGCAUACAGUCUAGGUUAGCAUUCAGGAGAUUUUUGGGCACUGAAUACACUCUCCUCUCCUCCGCCAUGACCCGCCCUGCCACCAUCUCACUUGGACUUCUGCUCCUCCUUAUUGCCUACACAGCUGCAGGACCUGAGUCUGAGCUCCAACCCAGAGCUGUCCGGUCGAGUGCCUGUCAGGACCACAGUACUCUUCAUGACAGACUGGAUGUAGUGGAGAAGGUAGAGUAAGACGCAAUGCUUUUCACUGUCUCUUUCUGUCACACUAUAACAAAAUCAUAUGGAGUUAUAAAGCCUUCAUAAACCCUUUAUCCCUUUAACUGUCUCUUCUUGAAAAACAUGAAAAAAGGAUUUGACCUUACAUUCCUAUUUCUAAUAACUCAAAUAAGAACUAGAAAUGUAAUUUUUUCAACUUUAUAUUUAAUUAGUAAAUUACAGAGCUUUACCAGGUGGUUGAGAAUUCACAUUAGAAUGGCAAUUGGCAUGGAAUUUUUACUCAUCUCAAAAAUAGAACAUAAAUUACUUUAGGUCUGCUUCAAUGGCUUUCAUGGGAAAGCGUUGGUAAACAAGGACUGAUUUCAAAUUUGAACAUAUUAUGGUAAUGUUGUGUGUCCAAAUAUGAAUAAUCAAUUACAUAAUAUGGUUUUCUUGAAUUUGAAAUGAUCUAGAUCAGGG